rnacentral:lncRNA from 1 species
AGUCCAAGCUCCUGGUGCACCGCAGAGAUGGCGACUGCAAUCCGGCUGCUGGGACGGCGAGUUUCCAGUUGGAGACUGCGGCCAUCACCGUCGCCCCUCGCUGUCCCGCGGCGGGCCCACUCGAUAUUGCCUGUGGACGAUGAUAUCAACGGGCUAAACGAGGAGCAGAAGCAGGUAGGAAGGCCGGCCCCAGGACAUGUCCCAGGUCUUACCCAAGUGACUUGUGCCUGCCAGGCCUUGGAAGCGUUUCGUAGAAGCUAGGGAGAGGAACUGCGCGCCCUCUCCCUACUAAUAUUUGAGGGAGACAGCAAGACAGGGGGAUUCCUGGCUUUGAACUCCAGCUAGGAGGAGAUAAAAGAGUAAGGACCAAACCUGGAAGACUGGUGGUGUUUGGGUGGGCAGAUUGGUUGGCCCUACUUCUAGUGGCUCUCAUGAAUCUGAAAACACUUACACCCCAACCUGUUCUCUCUCUCUCUCUCUCUCUCUCUCUCUCUCUCUCUCUCUCUCUCUCUCUCGCUCACUCUCGCUCUCCUUCUCCCUCUCGCUCUCCCAUUCUCCCCUUCCUUGGGGUCUCAGUAUGUAUAGCUUUGGGUGGCCUGGAAGGCAUUAAACUAGUACUUGAACUCUACUAGUGAACUCUUGCUUUUGCCUCAAGAGUGAUGGGAUUAAAGGCAUGGGCCACCAUACCUGGCUUGUAAGCAAUGGUUCUCAACUUAUGGUUGAAGUUACGCAUGACCCAUAGCUACCAGGGCAAUUUGCUUUUUCAAUGGAAGACUUUAAAGAAUUCUGAAAUGCCAUCUUAAGUUUGUUUUCUUCCCCUCUUCAAGGCAUAAUGCACAAAGC